CUUCCCUCUUCAUUUUUCUCCCAGGUCAUACCUGUCAUAAAUGAACAUGGUUCUCUGUGGUUCAUGAACCUGGUGGAGCAUCGCAUUUGCAUGCUGUCCUCUGGCAGAGGCUGAAUCAGGGAGUGGGAGCAAGUAAUGGAAAGGUAGCUUUCCCUCUGAAAUGACAAAGAUUUCCCAGGGCAAGAAUUACUGAAAACUCUCUUGGCAGUGAGAAGAAGGUCCAUGGCAUUCUGGCUGAAGCUCAGAACAAAAGUCAAGAAAGUCCAUCAUCAUCCAUGGAGUUUCUGUUGCUCUGUUUAUUGAAGAUAGAGGAAGCAGGAGGAGAAGAAUUACAAUGUGUUGUCCAAAGGUAAUCCUGGUAAAGACGUGAACACCUCAGAAUGAGAAGUCAAGAUAAGUUGGAAAUCCCUGGAAUUGUUUCCCACUGAGCUCCACUGUGGAAGCUGUCACUGUGUAGCAGCAAGGGAUAGGGAGAAAUCAGCUUCAGCAACAGACUGCUAGUGUCUCUCUGGCAAAGGAGUAAGUGAUGGAUAAAUAACCAAUGAUUUCAUAAAAGCCCAUCUUAUUGCAGAUAACAACUGAAUUUUGGGGAGAUUUGUGGAAACUGGAGAGUCUAUUUACAAAAUACCAUCCUACCAAGGAACAGGGUGGAUAUAAAAGGCCUUCAUGUAGCCAUGUGGCAGCCAGAAUGAGUGGGUGGUGACUGAUUGAAAUAUUUUGGGAUAAAUGAAGAUGAUUCUAAAUGAAAAGUACUGUGUUACAAACCAUUGGAGAUCUG
rnacentral:lncRNA from 1 species